UAACACAGGGAAAUCGGUGUUCAUUUAUGUAUUCCUUGAUUUGGUUUAUGGUGUUCUGCCCUCGUGAAAUUUGUUUCGUCAAUCAUACUCGCGACGGUGACUCCUCCAUUUUGUUGUUUCUUUUGCGAUCACAAUUACGGUAUGUUCGUGGGAACUGUCUAUGAUUUGGAGGUUUUGAUUUGUGCUUCGCUUAAUCGAUUCGUUGUUCUCUCUUUUUCGAUUGUGUAUUAUAUCCUUUCAAUUAAUUACUCGCUUAAUGGUAGUUUUGAAUACGUCUUUAGAUAUGGUUGUUGCCGUAUUAGAUUCUAGUUUUUUGUUACCGCCUCGUGAUAGUGUACGUUGUUGAUAUCGAUUUUGCGCGAUCUAAUAUUUUAUUCUUGUCUGAUCGAACAUUAUGUAAUUAGGAUAUGGUAUGUAUUGAUCGACGUAGUGGAUCAUAAUAUUCAGAUAGCAUUUUUUAUUUUUUUAAAAUUUCCUUAGAAGAGGUGAAUACUGUAGACUUCUCUCCGAGAUGAAUGCUAAUUAACAGUGGAGUUAAACAUGUGAAUUUCCGCUAGUGUUUAUUUGUUCAUUAGAGGCUUCAUUUAUAAGAACUACACUGUUAGAUUAUUAGCCGUGUCUGUUUAGACUAACCAUCUAUCUAUGUUAGCAUGAAUUCUUUUUCCCUUGUUUGUAAUAUAAUGAAUUUCAUUAUGAUUACACAGCAAAUCUAUUGAGAGAUUUAUCUUGCUGUUGCCAUUUCUUGUGAUCAACUCUGUUCUUCUUGGGAAUGAUUUUUAUUCUGCUAACAUCUAUUUUGGAUUCCAGCAUACUUCUUGGUCCAUCUGUUAGCUGCAGUUAACCAAAGUGGAGGGUGCUAAGUCAGAAUUAUCUUUUAUGUCUGAUUGCAACUUUCUUUUCCUAUUAUCAUUUGGGUUACUUGGGGAGUACUGUCCCUCGUUGAGGAAAAAGAAUAUAAGCUCUGGAUUUGAAGUUGGCUGGCAUGCAUUUCAAUCCAUUCCAAGUGCGCAAUAUCCACUGCCAUGGUUGUCUGUUUAUGCAGUCAAUCCAGAUCCUAGUAGAAACUUUUGCUGAAGAGUUCCACUUCUGAUAAAGGUUUGUACAACAGGAUCUCAUCACCAGGCAAUAAUGGCUUUGCAAAAUAUUGGUGCUGGGAACAAGGAUGAUGCCUUCUAUAGGUAUAAGAUGCCCAAAAUGAUAACAAAGAUUGAGGGCCGUGGGAAUGGCAUCAAAACCAAUAUAGUCAAUAUGGUUGACAUUGCAAAAGCUCUGGGCAGGUCCGCUUCUUACACCACCAAGUAUUUUGGAUGUGAAUUGGGAGCUCAAUCCAAGUUUGAUGAGAAGACUGGCACUUCCCAUGUCAAUGGAGCUCAUGAUACUGGGAAGCUGGCUGCACUUCUUGAAAACUUCAUCAAAAAAUUUGUCCAAUGCUAUGGCUGUGGGAAUCCUGAAACAGAAAUCAUCAUCACGAAGUCCCAAAUGAUCAAUCUCAAGUGUGCUGCAUGUGGUUUCAUCUCGGAGGUCGAUAUGAGGGACAAGCUCACCACAUUCAUUCUGAAAAAUCCGCCUGAGGCAAAGAAAGGAUCAAAAGACAAGAAAGCAAUGAGGAGGGCUGAGAAGGAGCGACUCAAGGAAGGAGAGGCAGCUGAUGAGGAGCAGAAGAAACUUAAGAAAGAUACCCUCAGGAAAAAGGGUUCUUCUAGCAAUUUGAAGGAUUUAGCCAAGGCAUCCAGCAAAAAGAAGUCCAUUCAUUCUGAUGAGGAUCAGUCUCCACCCGGUAGCCUGGCUGAGAACAAUGAAGUGGCAGUUGCUGCUGAUGACAGUGACGAUGAAAUCCAGUGGCAGACAGACACUUCUGCCUUAGCCGCCCAACAAAAGAUCAAAGAGCAGCUGAAUUCCGUGACAGCUAGUAUGGUUAUGCUCUCAACCGAAGAAGAGAAACCAAAAUCAGCAAACAGCCCACCUGAAAGUGCUGAGAAACCAAAAGUUAAUGGAAAUGCAACUGAUGUUAGCUCAGGCAGCGCUCAUCAUUACCAAAUCAAUGAAAUCAACAAGUGCAUCAAGGAGGGUCCUCCUGCAUGCCAAUUCAAAUCUUUUUUGCAGUCCCUUUCCGGCACACGCCAAGAGGUCCUUGAUGCCUUGUUUGAAGCCUUAUUCGAGGGAGUUGCAAAAGGUUUUGCCAAAGAGGUUGCCAAAAAGAAGAAGUACCUUGCAGCUGCUGUUAUGGAAGAAGGCUCACAGCCACUGUUGCUCAAUGCCAUAGAAUCAUUCUGCGGGAAAGCAAGCCCCGAGGCCAUAAAAGAGGUGGCUUUGGUUUUGAAAGCACUCUACGACAAUGACCUGUUGGAGGAGGAAUUCAUAUUGGAGUGGUACAAGCGGGGUGUAAAUGGUGGCAAUAAAGGCGCUCAGAUAUGGAAGAAUGCCAAGCCAUUUGUGGAGUGGCUGCAGAAUGCUGAGUCCGAGUCUGAGUCUGAAUAAGGCCCAACUCUGUGUUUUCUUCUUUGUUCAUUUGAGUUCGCAAAAUGGUAUCUUCACUUCUGUUGUGAUUAAUAAAUUGAGUGUAGUCUGUAGUGUAGGUCCGCCAAGUCCACUUUAAAGGCGGGCUUAGAGGGCCCAAUUCAAACGCUCGGCCCAAACAAGGUUGUAAGCAAGGAAAGAAAGACAUCGGAUUCUACGAUUUUUCGUGUUUAUGUUUAUCCUGUCCCCGUUUUUAUCUCGGUUCUUCUGACAGUUCUAACUACCUAAUUGGUUCAUGGUUUAGAGUCAAUCACUGUCUCUCUCACUGCAGUUUGGCAGAGCGAUCAAAUGGAAACUCCAUCUGGGAGGCAAAAUUCGUCAUCAGUUCCCUCGAACCAUGGAUAUGGAGACCGUCGACGUCCCCGAUUCUAUCACUGCAGCUGCUUCAGGCGCUGCUGCCGAUGCUUCUGCUGUUUCUAUUCCUAUCCCUGAAGUGUCUGGUGGAUGUGGGAAAUUCAAGACCAUAUAGCAAGAGGAGAUCAGCAGGAAUCGAUGUAUAAGAUCUCAAAGGAAGUUUCAAUGCUGGAGUCAAGACUCAGAGCAUCAGUCCAGAAGCGCACUCUAGAGGAUGAAAAUAUGAAUCUUUCCCCUCUUUAUGUCGUCAGCAGGAAGUCCAAGCAACAUCAGGAGCAGGCACUCUCCUCAAUCUGAUGCAGUUUCUACAUUUUUUCUUGCUUGCUCUGAGGACUGUCAGAGCAUCAUAGCCUAUCUAGAGCAGUAUACUUGGGACAAGAAGGUCGAGAACAGGAUCAAAUCCCCAUUGGUUCUGACGAACAAGUUCCCUACUAUUCUACACUCCCAAAAGAAUACCAAAGGAGAUUCAGGAAGGUUGUAGAUGUACAUCUUGAGCGUUAUUGGCGUGGCAUGCCAACAGAAAAAUUUCACCCCUGCUUGAGGAACUCUGUUGUUUUGCUGGUAAAUCACUGUGAGGAUGCUUGCCAUACGUGCCUACGUACGUGUGAAUGCUAUAAGGCUAGUGAUUCUUUUACAUGUUCAGAAUCAUCUAAAUAGACAAUUCAAAUAGCACAGAACAUUCUCACCUGUUUAAAUUUGUAGGUCUUUUCUUGUUUUUUGGGGAGAAGAUGAUUCAAUAAUUUGCUGUAAUAAACUCCUCA